rnacentral:rRNA from 1 species
GAUGAACGCUGGCGGCGUGCCUAAUACAUGCAAGUCGAGCGAAUGGAUUAAGAGCUUGCUCUUAUGAAGUUAGCGGCGGACGGGUGAGUAACACGUGGGUAACCUGCACAUAAGACUGGGAUAACUCCGGGAAACCGGGGCUAAUACCGGAUAACAUUUUGAACCGCAUGGUUCGAAAUUGAAAGGCGGCUUCGGUUGUCACUUAUGGAUGGACCCGGGUCGCAUUAGCUAGUUGGUGGGGUAACGGCUCACCAAGGCAACGAUGCGUAGCCGACCUGAGAGGGUGAUCGGCCACACUGGGACUGAGACACGGCCCAGACUCCUACGGGAGGCAGCAGUAGGGAAUCUUCCGCAAUGGACGAAAGUCUGACGGAGCAACGCCGCGUGAGUGAUGAAGGCUUUCGGGUCGUAAAACUCUGUUGUUAGGGAGGAACAAGUGCUAGUUGAAUAAGCUGGCACCUUGACGGUACCUAACCAGAAAGCCACGGCUAACUACGUGCCAGCAGCCGCCGUAA